GGAGGUCCGAACCGACUAAUGUUGAAAAAUUAGCGGAUGACUUGUGGCUGGGGGUGAAAGGCCAAUCAAACCGGGAGAUAGCUGGUUCUCCCCGAAAUCUAUUUAGGUAGAGCCUCGGACGAAUACCAUUGGGGGUAGAGCACUGUUUCGGCUAGGGGGUCAUCCCGACUUACCAACCCUUUGCAAACUCCGAAUACCAAUAAGUAAUAUCCGGGAGACACACGGCGGGU
rnacentral:rRNA from 1 species